AGGAGAGUUUGAUCCUGGCUCAGGAUGAACGCUAGCGGCAGGCUUAACACAUGCAAGUCGAGGGGCAGCGGGGUGUAGCAAUACACCGCCGGCGACCGGCGCACGGGUGCGUAACGCGUAUGCAACCUGCCCGUAACAGGGGGAUAACGGGGAGAAAUUCCCACUAAUACCCCGUAUAGCGAGGGGGUCGCAUGGUUUUCUCGCGAAAGCUUCGGCGGUUACGGAUGGGCAUGCGUGGCAUUAGGUAGUUGGCGGGGCAACGGCCCACCAAGCCUACGAUGCCUAGGGGAGCUGAGAGGCUUAUCCCCCACACUGGUACUGAGACACGGACCAGACUCCUACGGGAGGCAGCAGUGAGGAAUAUUGGUCAAUGGACGGAAGUCUGAACCAGCCAUGCCGCGUGCGGGAAGACGGCCCUAUGGGUUGUAAACCGCUUUUCCCCGGGAGUAAUAAGGGCCGUGCGCGGUCCGAUGAGAGUACCGGGGGAAUAAGCAUCGGCUAACUCCGUGCCAGCAGCCGCGGUAAUACGGAGGACGCGAGCGUUAUCCGGAUUCAUUGGGUUUAAAGGGUGCGCAGGCGGCCGUGCAAGUCAGCGGUGAAAGCCCGGGGCUCAACCCCGGAAGUGCCGUCCU
rnacentral:rRNA from 1 species